UCUGUAGGUGGUGCGUAAAGUUUCACGUCAAAUCUAGAAGCUCAACUUUUAUGACUGCGUGAAAUACUUACACACUUGAGGACGGGAGAGGUAGAUGGAAUUGCCGGUGUAGCGGUAAAAUGUGUUAAUAUCGGCAAGAACACCAAAUGCGAAGGCUUUCUACUGGAACGUUCCUGACACUGAGAGACGAAAGCGUGGGUAGCGAAUGGGAUUAGAUACCCCAGUAGUCCACGCCGUAAACGAUGGAUGCUUGACAUUGGCAGUAUCGACCCUGUCAGUGUCGCUUAACCAAGCUAACGCCUUAAGCAUCCCACCUGGGUAGUACGAGCGCAAGCUUAAAACUCAAAGGAAUUGACGGGGACCCGCACAAGCGGUGGAGCAUGUGGUUUAAUUCGACGAUAAGCGAGGAACCUCACCAAGGUUUGACAUCUGGCUGCAAACCCUAAGAAACUAGGGCUUCUUCGAGAGUGCCAGACAGGUGCUGCAUGGUUGUCGUCAGCUCGUGUCGUGAGAUGUACCGUUAAGUCGGGUAACGAGCGCAACCCCUACACUGUGUUAAAUCACUCACAGUGGACUGCCUGAAUACUUCAGGAGGAAGGUGGGGACGACGUCAAAUCAGCAUGGCUCUUACACCUUGGGCUACACACGUGCUACAAUGGCCAGUACAAUGGGCCGCCAAGUCGAAAGACGGAGCUAAUCCCACAAAGCUGGUCUCAGUUCGGAUUGAGGUUCUGCAACUCGACCUCAUGAAGUUGGAAUCGCUAGUAACCGC
rnacentral:rRNA from 1 species